AUGUAGCAUUCGACUGAUUGUUCGGUAAAAUCACUCCAGUUCUUAUGCAAAUGAAACUACCGAACAAUCAGACCAACCCAGUAAUAAGUGUUGUCUGAUUGUUCGGUAGUUUCAUUUGCAUAAGAACUGGAGUGACUUUACCGAACAAUCAGUCGAAUGCUACAUACA